CUGCUGACGUCAUGACUUCAGGCCAGGCGAGUCACCGUGAACGGGUACGGGUCAGCGAUAUCGCAAGGGCAGGGACGCCUCGUGCACUGGCACCCUGCACGAAGAAGUUACGAAGCACAGAACAUUAAGGUCUGGUGAAAUCUGCAGUCAGCAAGUUGUGUUUGAAGCUAUGAAGUAACCAGAAAUCAGUAGCGCAUUAUCAUGGGAAUGUGUCCUUCAGAAAUGGCUUCUUGGAUGGAAAGAGUUGAAAAUCAGAUAAUGCAAGGAAAGGAGAACAAGGAGCAUGAGGAAGGAUGUCAUAGACACAGGGCCAUCUGGGCAAUUUGAGAGUUGUGAACAGGGGCGUCGUCCUGUAGGAGGCAGACAACUUUGUUCAACAUUCCAUGCCUCUCGGUCUUGAUAGCCUCCCGCAAUUUCUGUAGCAGUGACGCGUAGUAAGCUCCUGUAAUUGCAAUCACUUUUGCCAGGACAUCCACCAUCACUUCUUCAUGUUGGUCUCAAAAGCCUGCGAGCAUGCAUUUGCUGCCAAGGGUGUGACAUGUACUUUUUUGGGAGUUCUGACUCAAAGGGCUUCCAUUGUUUAACUGGGCAUUAGAUACCUGAUCAUAGUUUAAGACCCAGGUGUCCUCCUGUGUAAUUAGUCUGCCAAAAAGUCCUCCUGAUUUUCUUGGCACGUGGCUAAAAGAACCUUGGGACAAUGGACACUUUCCUGCUUCUGGAACGGUGUGAGUAGCAUGGGAAACGGCAACUUUAGCAUAUGCAGAUGGUUAUGAAUGACUUUAUCCCUGUGUUAUCAUUAUCGUUAUCAUCAUGAUAAAUGUUAUUUAAUCACUAUCACUAGUGUUAAUGGAUCAUUAUCAUUAUUGUUAUAAAUUUGUCACUAUUGUUAUCGUUGUUGUCCAUCUACUAUUACCACUAACAUAAACAUCAUAUAUUAUCAUUAUCCUCAUUAUUAUCAUGGUUAUCAUCAUAAACCUCAUAACCAUCAUCCCCAUCGUUUUCAUCAUUAUAAACAUUACAAUAUCAAUAUAUGCAGAGUGUAUGUGUCUAUGUCCGUGUGCAUGUCUUUAUAUCUAUUUAUUUAUUUUACCACCACAGUGCAGCCAACUUCCCAGAACUUGAAGUCCCAAGAACAUCAAAAAAAAAAAAAAAAAUAAAAAAUAAAAAAAAAAUAACGACAAUAACAGUGACAAAAAAUUAAUGAGAAUAAGUAAACCUCAAGUGGCAAGACAUUUUACCCUCGCUUCACACAUCUUUAUUAUCCUCCACUUUUCUCCUCUUCAGUUUCUGUCAGCCAUUUAUACUUCCAAACAUUGCUAUCAAUUUUACAUAUAGAAAGAAGUAUCGAUAGGACAAUGAUAGUGGAUGAUAAAUUGCUAUCUGGUAACCCCAUAAUGACCUCCCUCGCCCUUGCCUCGCCCCAUAAAUAGCGCGCGAAGGACCUCAGACGAGUCAGUGCAGGUUGGAAACAAACAGUGCGAUGAGGCCAAUCUACUUCGUUAUUUUCGUGUUGGCUGUGGUGGUGCUGAUGGCAGAGGCGCGGAGUUUCGCGGAAAUUUGCUUCUGCGACGAAAAGCCCUGCCCUUGCGAUAUAAGAGAAGCCCCCCGUGAGUGACAUUCCCCUUGCUGAAGGCACGGAACAUCGACAGGAAUCGAAUCAGUGAAUCAGCUGGCAAGGGAGUCAACGAAAUCAUAUUUUUGUUAUUUUCUAUUUAUUAUUAUUAUUAUUAUUUUUUUUUAUUGUUAUUAUUUUUUAGAUAUAUCAAGAUCAAAAUGAAGGUGCGCGGGUUAAGAUAUAUAUGAUAAACAGAUAAACACACACACAUACAUACAUACAUGCAUACAUAUAUACACACAUACAUACAUACAUAUAUACACACAUACAUACAUACAUGCAUACAUAUAUAC